GGGCAGGUAGCUCAGUCGGUAGAGCAGAAGACUGAAAAUCUUCGUGUCGAGUGUUCGAUUCACUCCCUGCCCACCA
rnacentral:tRNA from 1 species